AAUUUUCCCUUGAGCUUCAGUGGCAUACGGCGGUCACACAACACGCCGGAUGCACUUUUCCACUUCAUCCAUCCAGCUUGUAUUCUAUGGUUGAGAUCUCCAUCUAAUUCUCCGUUCUUUUGCAAGAUAGAUCCUAGGUAACGAAAACGGUCGCUCUUUGGUAUUUCUUGAUCUCCGAUCCUCACCCCUAACUCGUUUUGGCCUCCAUUUGCACUGAACUUGCACUCCAUAUAUUCUGUCUUUGAUCGGCUUAGGCGAAGACCUUUAGAUUCCAACACUUCUCUCCAAAGGUUAAGCUUUGCAUUUACCCCUUCCUGAGUUUCAUCUAUCAACACUAUAUCGUCUGCGAAAAGCAUACACCAAGGAAUAUCAUCUUGAAUAUGUCCUGUUAACUCAUCCAUUACCAACGCAAAAAGGUAAGGACUUAAGGAUGAGCCUUGAUGUAAUCCUACAGUUAUGGGAAAGCUUUUCGGUUUGUCCUUCAUGAGUUCUUACGGCAGUCUUUGCUCCUUCAUACAUAUCUUUUAUAGCUUGGAUAUAUGCUACUCGUACUCCUUUCUUCUCUAAAAUCCUCCAAAGAAUGUCUCUUGGGACCCUAUCAUACGCUUUUUCCAAAUCUAUAAAGACCAUGUGUAAAUCCUUUUUCCCAUCUCUAUAUCUUUCCAUCAAUCUUCGUAAGAGAUAGAUUGCCUCCAUGGUUGAGCGCCCUGGCAUGAACCCGAAUUGGUUGUCCGAAACCCGUGUCUCUUGCCUCAAUCUAUGCUCAAUGACUCUCUCCCAGAGCUUCAUUGUAUGACUCAUUAGCUUAAUACCCCUAUAGUUCAUGCAAUUUUGUACGUUGCCCUUAUUCUUGUAGAUAGGCACCAAAGUGCUCGUUCGCCACUCAUUUGGCAUCUUCUUCGUUUUCAAAAUCCUAUUGAAAAGGUCAGUGAGCCAUGUUAUACCUGUCUCUCCCAAAAGUUUCCACACUUCGAUUGGUAUAUCGUCUGGGCCUAUUGCUUUUUUAUGCUUCAUCUUCUUCAAAGUUACAACCACUUCUUCCUUCCGGAUUCGCCGAUAAAAAGAGUAGUUUCUACACUCUUCUGAGUUACUCAACUCCCCUAAAGAAGCACUCAUUUCAUGUCCUUCAUUGAAAAGAUUAUGAAAAUAACCUCUCCAUCUGUCUUUAACCGCAUUCUCUGUAGCAAGAACCUUUCCAUCCUCAUCCUUGAUGCACCUCACUUGGUUUAGGUCCCUUGUCUUCUUUUCCCUUGCUCUAGAUAGUUUAUAGAUAUCCAACUCUCCUUCUUUGGUACCUAGUCGUUUAUACAUAUCGUCGUAAGCCGCUAACUUAGCUUCUCUGACAGCUUUCUUCGCCUCUUGCUUCGCUUUUCUAUACCUUUCACCAUUUUCAUCGGUCCUCUCCUUGUAUAAGGCUUUACAACAUUCCUUCUUAGCCUUCACCUUUAUUUGUACCUCCUCAUUCCACCACCAAGAUUCCUUUUGGUGUGGGGCAAAGCCCUUGGACUCUCCUAAUACCUCUUUUGCUACUUUUCAGAUACAACUAGCCAUGGAAUCCCACAUUUGGCUAGCUUCCCCCUCUCUAUCCCACACACAUUGGGUGAUUACCUUCUCUUUGAAAAUGGCUUGUUUUUCUUCUUUUAGAUUCCAUCAUCUAGUCCUUGGGCACUUCCAAGUCUUGUUCUUUUGUCUUACUCUUUUGAUAUGUACAUCCAUCACCACAACAAGCGAUGUUGAUUAGCCACGCUCUCUCCUGGUAUAACUUUGCAAUCCUUACAAGUUUAUACGAUCCCCUUUCCUCAUUAGAAGAAAAUCUAUUUGUGUUUUUGACGACCCACUCUUGUAGGUGAUCACAUGUUCUUCUCUCUUCUUAAAGAAGGUGUUGGCUAAGAAGAGAUCAUAUGCCAUUGCAAAAUCCAAGAUAGCUUCCCCAUCCUCGUUUCUCUCCCCAAAACCAUGGCCACCAUGAAAACCUCCAUAGUUGCCUGUCUCCCUGCCCACGUGUCCAUUUAAAUCUCCUCCUAUAAAUAACUUCUCCGUCUGAGCAAUUCCUUGCACCAAGUCUCCAAGAUCUUCCCAAAAUUUCUCCUUCGAACUCGUAUCCAACCCUACUUGAGGUGCGUACGCACUAAUCACAUUGAUAACUUCUUGUCCUAUUACAAUCUUGAUUGCCAUGAUUCUAUCUCCUACCCUCUUGACAUCUACAACAUCUUGUACCAAGGUCUUGUCCACGAUGAUGCCAACACCGUUUCUCGUUCUAUUUGUGCCCGAAUACCAAAGUUUAAACCCUGAGUUUUCUAGAUCCUUUGCCUUACUACCAACCCACUUAGUUUCUUGUAGGCACAUAAUAUUUAUCCUUCUUCUCACCAUAACUUCCACUACUUCCAUAGAUUUUCCCGUUAAGGUUCCUAUAUUCCACGUUCCUAAACGCAUUUUGCUCUCUUGAACUCUACCCUUCUGUCCUAGCUUCUUCACCUUCCCCCGUCUAAUAGGAUCAAAGUACUUCUUUUGUGUGUCCCGGGUAAAGUUGAUAGGAGCAUAUGCUCCCAAAUAACUUUGAGUGGAGUCGUUCGAAAAUAAGUUUCUAUGGCCCCCUUGCUCAUUUAACACUGCAUCCGGGUGCCGAUGGAGAUACAGCGACCCUUGCUCACUUAUCACUGUGCUCGGGCCACACAGCGCGCCACUUACGGGUGACGCCCUAGCUUUAGCGCGAUUUUGUUCUGGAUUCAUUUUCAUAAGGAUUCGACGUGAUCAUGGAGUGCCGGCUGUCGACUACCUGACGCCCUCCCCCUCCUCCUUUAUCCGGGCUUGGGACCGGCCAUGUAAGACAUAGGCGGAGUUGGUUAGCUCAUUAAAUAAAUUGCAAAUUUUAUAUCCCCUUUAAAUUUAUAUAUUCAUCAUUAAGCUAAAGAUUAUGUAAAGAAAUAUUUCAUAUUUGGAAAUAUUUUGAAUCAAACUUUCCCUGGUAAUAAUUUCUUGUCUUGUGAAUUAUAUUAAUCACAGUUGCAAGAUGUGAUAUGUGUACUAUACACUCCUUGUUUCAUUUAUUCGUGUAUUGUAGACAAGUGCAGUUCUUAAAUGUUAUUACGUACUUGAGAAGCUUGCUUUACAAGUUUCCCUCAAUCUACUAUUGUUCCUACAGGAAGUGGAGGAGUCAUUUGCUUUCUGGGGUACUCCAGAAGGUGAUCUAGUCCAUCCUGCUGAGUGUAUUGAGCAGUUACUGGAGAAAGUUAGGCGUCACAGAGUCAAUGUUGAUGGCAAUGUCUGUACUGUCAUGGUAACGACUUUGGUACUUGAGGUAAUUCCGUUUUCCUUUAUAUAUCCACCACGGCUGAAGCAUGGCUAUUCUCUUAUGAAAUGAAACCUGUUGUUGCAUUCUGUAAUCCUUGCAAUAAAAGCACGAGCAAUUGCCCGUCUGUUGUUGAUUGCUCAACUCCUUUCUGCUUCUCUUUAUAAAGCCAAUUUUAUUUUCUUAGAAAACUAAAACGAAUGGGAUUAGAUUUCACAACUGAUGGUUGAUUAUUUGAGUGAUUUCGUCGAUAACUGCUCCACAUAUCUGAGUGAUUGUGUUUUGCAGGGAUGGCAGCGGAAACUCGACCCUGGGUACGAUGUGAUGCACACAUUGCAAACGCUACUUCUCAAAGCCGACUGGGCAAAGUCCCUUUCCUACACAAUUGAGGGGCUAAUGGCUCCAUAAGAAGGUCUUUGUCAGUGCUACUGCUACAAUUACAAAAACAAUUUUGACACUUUUGAAUCCCAAAAUAUACCAGUCCCAAGAAAAAAGGGACACGAAUGCUUUGAUCUUUAAUUUUAUUUCAUUUUAUUCAAUAUUUUGAAGGUUCAAUCCUUUGUGUAUUAUUUAGCUUGUUUUCGGCGAAAAGGGUUUCCUGUUUUGAAGCCUGAAGCAAAAACAGUAGAGGAAAAAAAAGAGAAAUAAAGUGAAGAUGUAUUCUUUCCUGUACAGCUUGCAGUUUUAUAAAUUAAUGCCUUCCUUGAGAUUACUUACUUGACAUAUCUAUUGGAAAUAGAUCAUCGCCGGAUCCUUUUUCUGGGGAUCCUAGGAAUCUCAUGAUCAUAAUCGUUCAUCGUACAUUGUGAGAUUAGAAAUCAUUUCAAAAUUUAAAAUUAAAUAUAAAUAUUAUAUAACAAAAACUAACUGCAUGAUGUACAGUUAUAAUCAUCUCCAGCAAAGUGAUCCUCGCCGGAUCCUUUUCCAUAUCUAUUUACAGCACCUAUCUUUCUCGUUUAAGUUACUCUCCCUUGCCAAGAACAAGAAGAAAAACAUAGGAUGAGUAGAAAUUUUCUCUCGUUGAUUGCACGAUGUACGAUAUACGAUCAUGAUCACGAGAUUCCUAAGAAAACAAUCCUCGCCGGAUCCUUUUCCAUAUCUAUUUACAGCACCUAUCAUUCUCGUUUAAGUUACUCUCCCCUUGCCAAGAACAAGAACAAAAACAUAGAAUGAGUAGAAAUUUUCUCUCGUCGGGUCGGAUCGAUCCGGUAGGAACCAUGAACCUGAUAUUAUCAACAAAAUAUAGGAUCAAUCAAAUCGCGAAAUUUCUUCCAUGCUCUGGACUAUUCAAUACAACGGAACAGAAUGAAUAAAAAUAGCAAGUUAAGAGGAAUAGAGUGAAGAAAAACGUACGGAAUAGACGAAACCAUUACCCUAAUGACUUAACCUUUAAAAGCUACAAUAGCUACACUGGAAAAGUUAGUUUUCGCUCGCUAGUUCUCGUGCCAUCCGAAAUGCGUUCAGUGGCGACUCAGACUCGAAUGUUCUAUGUCCAUAAGGGAUCGGAAAACAUCAUGGUUAUAUGUCGUGAAAUGAAAUUGUACCAGCAUGUAAUCAGACGCUACUUGCUAGGUAAUGAAGCAGGGUUUCGAGAAACAUUCCCGUCUGAUGUAAGGUCAAUGCUCCCAUUCCUUCCAUUUCUUAUUCUCUCUGCCGGGAAGGAACAGUAACACUUGGCUCUUUUAUCGCGACCGCAACAAAUGAAGAAUGUAUAUACACCUCUCUGUGUAAUAGAAUCAAAACGAAUCAAAGUAGCCUCUCCACGAUCUACAGCUGACGCAGUUUCCAGAUGUUCAUAGAAGAUAUAGCCGUGAUCAUCUAACCAUUACCUGUAAGGAACAUGGUAAGUGCUCAGACAAUCCUGCAGUAUGCAUGGCAGUGAACAAAACAGACAACUAUACUUUCUCAGAAUGGAGAGAAUAAGCGGGUGAGCCAAGGUUUACACACACAAACACGAUACAUGCAUCAUCAUUCCAUAUGCCAGUUGAUGUAGAAGCGUGAUUUAAUUGGAAAAUAUGAGUUCUAUACCUUUUAUUUGAGUAUGGAUAGAGUCCUGGGGACCUAGAGCCUCAGCAACGCAGAAUUUACAAACAGGCAGUGGAUACUCGACAAUCGUUUAAAAUCCCAAACUGUCAUGCAACAUCUUGACAUGUCCAAGGAAGAAUCUCCAUUUGUUUUCUUUUUUUUCUGAAAAUUCUGCAGGUGCUAAAUGUUGGAAGCACAGAGGAGAUAAAUGUCUUCCUCAGCAGGGGCACUUACAUUGCACAAGUAAGCUCACGUAUUUCUUUGAUUGCUGAACUAAUACUAUUAAGGGCCAUUCUCUUCACCUGCAUUUCAUGACAAGGGCAGACACUUUCUGAUCAAUUUUUAUGCAUAUUAUGGAGAAAAAAAUGACAUCUCAUACUAAUAUCAAUGAAAGUUCACCUCUAGCUUGUCAACUUUUGCUUUAUGGUGCUGGAAGCAGACGGACUUCAUCAGUUAACUGGAUGCACUCGGCAACAUUUUCGGGUGAUACAAAGUCCAGCACCACAUGUACACAAGACUGCAUGUCAAAAGAAACAGAAUGUCCAAUAUUGUGAUAAUUUGCGGAAACAAUAAACUUAUCUGCAUAAUAAGUACAAGUCCUGUAAAAAUUCUUGGUAAUCAUUCCAAGAACUCAAAAGUAGUAAAAUACGAAAGAUUCAAAAGGUUUUUCUAAAUACUAGAUCAUAAAAGUGUCACGCACCUUAGAAUUCCUAAUCUGAUAUGGGCAUCCAGCAGGUAUGAUAACAGCUUCUCCUAUGUGUUGCUCAAAAGUCCAAGGCUCAAUUUCUGGUGACAAUGAGUGGUGGGUUAACUACAGUUAUUCAUAAUUCAACCAGUGAUUGAAAUGACACAAAUUACACUUACUAAAUUCCUCCUUGAGCCUUAAUUUGUGACUUGAGUCCAGAAAGAAACUCUGAUCAAGAAUGGGAUGAACAACCUGCAGUAAGUGUGGACGUCAAAAAGUAAGAUAGUCUUUAACCUGAUCUGCUCAAAUGCUGUAGCUAUAGGUUUUGGGCUUACAUGCUUAUGAAAGUCAAAUUUACGAGUGAAUUCAUUAGAGUGCCUUCUGAGAUAUUCUAUAAGUUUUGGGACAUCUUGUCUGCGAAACACAUCCCAUUGGGCACCACAAGACUUGUCCAAGGUUUGCUUUUCAUAGCUAUUGCAGCUGUCGACCAGAACCUCACACCUUGUAUCUUUAGAUGUUUCAGCAUCAUGAAGUCUCCCAGAGCUACUUAGUGUGGCUUCAGAAUCAGUAUCAGAAUCAGAUGUUUCAGCAUCUGUGCAUGCUUCAUGCCUGGAGAAGCAAGACUCUCUAGCAAUUCUUUUGCGUAAAUGCAUCUCCUCUCCGAUCACAUUAUGUAGCCCUGCUUCUUUCAUGGUUUCACUAAACAAUAAUGAUUCUCCAUUGUCUUUUUUUGCCACAAAUUGUUCACAAGUAACCCUAGAACCCUCCCUCUGAUAUUGAGCCUUGUGCUUCUUCAGUAACUUUCUUAUUUUUGAAACUUGUUCAUCAGAGAUAGGGACAUCUGAUGUAUGUGCCAAAAUGUUAACCUAGGGUCAAAAAAAUCAACAGAAUGAAUGAAAUGGAACACUUAGAUCUGAAAAAAUAACUGUUACCAAAGCAAAGCUAAUCUUUAACAACCAAAAAUAUAUAUAAAAAUGGUGAAGGUUUAGCAAACAGCUUAUGGUUUUCUCCAUAUUCUUCGACCCAAAUUUUUACUCAAAUGAAUUUACCAAGACUUUAAAUUAAUGCUUGGUGAAGUUGUCCAGGUGAGGUGAGACCACAUCGGUAUCAACCUAUAAAUUCAAAUAAAAUGCACGGAAAGCAUUUACAGUUUCUUCAACAAUUAAUAUGAUAUGGUGCCUACUUGUCCCAUUGCAGCACAUCAUCAAAAGAAACAAGAGAUCACUUGACAGUAAAGUAAUAGGGAUAAUUACAAGGCAUACCACAUCAUAUGAGUCAUAACAUAGCUUUAUCACUGCAUUAGCUUGUACAAGUUGCUCGGUGCAGCCGUAUGAUAUAUAAACACAGGGACCUAGAUCAGGUUUUGGGAUUUCUUGUGGCAUCCUUGCAGCAAGAUUUAAAAGACCAGACGUGGGAUUCAUGUAUUCUUGAAGUGGUAGAGCUCGUAUUACUUCAGCAUAAUGAACUGGAAACUGUUCCUGAAACAACUGCGAAGAAAGCCAACCCUUCAACUUCAGUGUCUCAUUCCAUACAUUUCGUUGGGCCUGCCCCCUUAAUGAACCCAUGAAGUACUGCCUGAUUCCAAGUUCCACCUGCCAUAUAAUAUAUAUAAGUUUUUCUUUUAGAAGAAAGAAGGCUGGAUGGUAGGAAUAUAAUCAUGUGUACUUGAAGAGUUUAGAGAUAAAGGAGGUAAAAAUGCAGAGGACUAUCAGUUUUCUUUUUAAAGGCUAAAUUUGAGAAUGGGAUUAGGUGUAGACAAUCGUGAAUCAAAAGAUAAAGAGAGCAAAUCUAUAAGCAGUAGAGCUCCACUGACCUCGCACCAAUCCAAGCAGUGGAUAGCUUCAUUUGAAUUUGUGUUAUUUUCAUAUCUAGCAAUGCUCCUCUCAAGAUAAGUGCAGAACAUGGACACUGGAUCCCAAGUCAAAUCUGAUGUAGUUUGAAGUACGUCUCGGACUAUUACAGGAUGACCUUUACUCCAGUGCUUCUGAAAGUGCUCAACAUUAUCACCAUUUGUGCCCAGUAGCGUGGGGUAGUAUAAGUAGUUAUCGUUUGAGUUCUCUCUCACUGAAGCUUCUUGCAACUGUCGAUUCCCAUCAGUUUUCUGGUCCACGCCCAAACAUAGUGGACAGCACAAAGACAUGUCAGCAGUUUCUGGAAAUUCAUAGCUGCAAACUAUUUCUUCUGCACUUACUUCCAGGUCUUUGAUCCAACAUAAUGGAAAAACACAUCUCAAAUCAAGGAGGCUGUCACCACAACCUCCAAGCUCCUUAGGUGGGCAAGAUAUACCAUUAACAGCAUUACAAGAUUUCAAGCUAGGUACUGAUGCAGAAGAAGGGUACAAACUGCGGAAACUUUGCUUAUGGGUGGUUAUUGGCUUCUUUACAAGUUGCCCCUUACGAGAGACACAAGUUUUCUUUUUGUUAGUCUGCUUUAUGAGAGUUGUGUUUAUACCACCAAAAAGGCUCCCACUUAAAAGAUCUCGACAGCAACUUAAACAAAGGUUAUAGGAACAAUUUGGGCAGCUUCUAUGGAGAUCCACUAUUGAAGCUUUGCAUUUAUUGCUGUUCCCAAAGUCAUUGAUGCACCACACAAACAAUGCAAGAUCAUUACAUAAAUUCCACUUUAACUGUUAAAACAUUGCAGAAUUAUAGAACAUACCAGCAGUGUUGUUCGUUGCAGCUAUAUUCAGCCUGCUUGAUAUGAACUUCAGAUAGCUCUUCCCCUGGUAUUACGAAGAAAAGAUAGUUUUUUCAGUUAUGACCACAAAGUUGGCGCAAAGAGCAACAUUGUCAGUAGAAUUACACAGUACCUCUCAUUUUUGCCUCUGCUUCUAGCUCAACUUUCUGAUCUUGGUUUAUUUGUUUUAGCACGGGAAGAAGCAUACAAAUCAGAUAAUGGAACUGUAGUAUUACUUCAACUUUAUUCUUAACCCCCAAAUAAUCCUGACAAAAAGGGUGUGCAUGAUUUAAAUCAUUAGCAUCUAACAUCAUACGAAGCAUGAACAAGUUCACAAAUGAGCCAAAUUUAAUGUCAGACCUUACUUUCCGCAUCUUUUGAUUGAUUUUCAGAGCAUUCCUUACAGGGGCAAGUUCCUCGACAGACUGGGCAUGCCAUUUUGACUUCAUCUUGUGUAUCAAAGUACCUAAAUUGUUUUAAGAACCAAGAUUCAUCAAGCCUCAUUGAUUAUAACAAGGAGAAGAACUAUAACAAACAGCUUAGGAGAAUAACGAUAUUAUUGCAAUGAGUUCUAGUCCUACCAAUGUAUUAUCAGAUUUGGCCUGGAGAAUUGAAUUCUCUCUGUGUCUCUACCAAUGUUUUCAUCUUGUAGGAUGCAGAACAUUCUACACAAUCAUGGCUUCUCAUAUAGAUAUCAGAUACGCAGACAAGGGUGAAUUUUCUAGCGUGACGGAAAAAUACAAGUUCUUUAUAAAGUUUUAUUACAAAACAUCAAUCUCUCGGAUCGUGGUGAAAUUUACAUACAUUUCGGUAUUCAAGGCCAGUAUUCUAACUAAUGACGACCAAAUCCAUAUAAAAGAAUUGAAACAAGAACUGUGUACCAGCAUUGCAGUCUAUGAGAAUUGGUAACAAGAAACUUAGCUCUAAGAUUCAAACAUAAAUUUGAGGCCAUAAUCCACAAAACACAAAACAAACCUUUCUUUGACGCAAUUCAAGCAAAAGAAGUGCUUCUGGCAACUCGAACACUUAAUUAGAGCAGAAGAAACACCGCUCCCUCUUUUUCGACACCAAUGGCACCUUCUCCUCUUACCUUUCCUCAACUUCCCCACAUCAUUAUAUGGCAGAACCUAAACCAAAAGAAUCAAAAUUUCAAAAACCAUAUGACCAUAAUUGUUUCUUUCAGUCAUUCAGCUCACCUGCAAUGUGCCAGCAGGAAUUGGCUCGAUGUUCUUUGACCGAAAGCACCUCCUCCGCGUAGCAACCGGAGGCAAAUCAGCCCCGACCUUCCCAUCAGAAGACGAAUUGGAACCUGCAUUGCCGGACCGAAGCCUCGGCGACUGCGAGGAAGAUGAAGAGAUUGCCAUUCGGCCAUUGGGCAAGUCUCUGGUGAGAUCACCGCCGCCGUCAUCGUCGUCUUCAUCACCAUCCUCACUCUCCUCCUCCACAACAUUCUUCUUCUUCGUAGUCGUCUGGUUCCGCUUCUCGACCUCCCUCCUCAGCACCAUCCGUAUGAGGUCCAAAUUCAACUCGCUCUUCUUCAACUUCACCUUCCGCUUCUUCUUCUUGCAAUUCUUCACCGCCUCGUCGGAUCGCUUCCGCUUCAGCAACUUCACCAAAUUCUCCACUUUCCGUGCCCUAAUUUUGACUCCACCGCCGUUUCCGCUGCCGUUUUGAUCUUUGUCCCCAGCGUUUUUGGGCGUCCUCUGAAGCUUGAGUGACUCGGGGACUUUCUCUCUGAACUGACGGUGACGGCCUUGGAGAUAGUGAAUCUCGCAGAGCUUCAUGUCGUCCAUGACUCUCCGCUUGCACCGCCAUUUCCGGCCGUCGGUCCGGCCGCACCGCAGAUGGUCCGGCAGCGCACCCUCCUCGCCCAUUCCACAAAAUUGAUCUGAUUUUCCCGGAAAAUGUCUAAUUUUCUCGGGAAAACGCUGGCGACUGAGAAAAGAGAGACAAAGCAAGGGGCUUUUGAGAAAGGAAAGGGAUUAUUUUUAGGGGUUUUGGGAAUUUUACCUUUUUCGUAUUUAUUGAGAGAAACAGAUGGAGCUUAAUCUAAAAGAUUGAGUUUUGAGGGGCAUAUUCCGUAAUUACAGGGGAAGAAGGAGUCCCAUUUGGUCUCGAAAUCGUGAAUCAGGUCAGAUUCAAGAAAUCAACAUCCAAGAUAAUCUGGUCAGGUUCCAACUCUGCAACUCUGCUGCUGCACUGAAUCCUCAUAUUUUGCAAAAAGAUUUUUUAUUUUUAUUUUUUAUUACUGUUAUGAAUUUGGUUCGAUAGGAGGCUGGUUCAGUGACAGUUUACUAAGUUUGGCUGCAAUUGGUUUUUACGAUGCAUGAACACGGUGAUAUCUCUUCGUAUUCUCCUGUUGUGUUGUAUUCCCAAGUCGUGUUGCAUUGCUGUGUUCGUGUCCAUGCAUCGUAAGUUUUUAUUCAGUUUUUCUCACUACAUUUUUCAAUUUGCAAAUUUGGGGUACUUUUUUUGCAGCUUUGAUUGAUAGCUUGUGUUGCAUGUGAUUAGAGCUCUGAAUUCCAAGUUUGGAAUUUGAUAAAUUGAUGUGGCAUUUCAAAUGCUUUUCAGUUUUUAGAGUGUGUAUAUAGUUCAGUUUUUAGUAUGUCCAAAUUUAAUGUGCUGUAUAUAUUAUAUUUUGUGGGUUUAUUUGCUGCAACUUUGGACUAUCUUUUGUUUAUUUGGGAUUUAAAUAGGGAAGAAAAAGAGAAAUGGAGUGUCCCAUGCAACUGCUUAUUGAAAUUGGUUUUCUGGCUUUUCUUCAUCUGAUUGCCAUGCAAUGCAGCUGCAAACUUGCAAUGCUGCAUCCGACUAAUUCUAGUUUUAGUUAUUUUAAUUCAAUUUGUCUGAUAUUAUGCAGCAUGUAAACUUCCUUCACUUUCAUGAGCAAUCAUGAGAAACAACAACCAACAUGAUUUAUGAAAAACAAGCAUGCUACGUAUAUCAUUGCAUUAUAUAAUUCAAUUGUUAAUUUGUUCGUUCGAAGUUUAUUUUAUUAUGAAUUAAUUUAGCAUGCAUUUAAGAUUACUCCUUCUUUUCUGCCGACGAGAGCAAUUUAGAUUAUCGCUUUGUACAAACAAAUGCAGCUUUGCAUGUUCCAUUUCCUGGAAAAUGGCAUUGGCAUUAUAUUUUUACACGUUUUUAUGGUCAUUUGGAACAAUUAUGAAGUUGAUAACAAAAAAAAAAAAAAAAAAAAAAAAAACCCUGCAUAGUACUCCUAGUAAAAACACGUGGGUUCCAUACCAAGAUAUUGCUAUUUCCCGAAGUAGCAUGCUGUACAUAGCUUUCUAGUUAAUUAUAUAGCUCAGUUGAACCUAAUUUAAAACAGAAUAAUGCCUUCAUUAAAGUAUCUUUUUUUGUUUCAUUUGAAAAAUACAUAUCAAUUUGAUAUGAAGUAUAUUUACAAUUUGGUUUGACAAACGUCUUGAGAUGAUAUAAUUAGUAAAUAUGUUCUUCCUCGUGUCAACAUUAUAUACAUGCAUCCUUCAUGAAGAAUAUCUGCAUAUCAUCUUCUGCGGAGGACAAUCUUGCCUUCUGCAUCUUCAUGCACAAUGGCUACAACUUCCUCAGGGGGAACGUUCCACCAGAUCCUAGGCUCCUCUAGCUGAUGUCCAAUUUGAGCAAAUUUAUCCGCGGCUCGAUUGCCUUCCCUAUAAACGUGACUCACAAUGCAACCGUUGAGUUUUGGCAAAAUCGAAUUCACAUCGUUAACUUGCCUUUGAACUUCUGCACAUUUAAAAUCUUUCUUUCUUUUCACAAUAAUAUCGAGCAAUGCCUUGGCAUCUCCUUCAAGCCACACGUCUCUAAAGCCAUUUUCUAACACCAACUCGAGGCCUCUUUUUAGGGCUACCAACUCAGCAAUGGUGCUGUUGGCUUCUCCAAUGGACUCAGCAAACCCUAGCAAGAAUUCUGCCUUGUGGUUCCUAAAGACCCCUCCAAUGCUAGCUUUUCCUGUUUUGCCUUUUGAAGAUCCAUCAAAGUUCAACUUGGUCCAUCCAAUCUUGGGCUUUUCCCAUUUCACCGGAAUCGGCUUUUUUCGAUAAUUUCUUACUGAAAACCAACCGGGCUUUGUAGUACUGGAUAGACUUUGGCACCUCCAAAUUUUUGUAAAGGCUAACAUGAUUUCUCCGCUGUAGACUUGUACUAGUUUAAUCGGUGGUGUUAUAAGAAUGACUAAAAACACUUUCAACUAUCAAAAACGCUUUCGGCAAUGUUUGUUCGAUGUGCGCUUGUAACAAAAAUGUGCUUCAUCAAUCAUCACGUAUAUAGUUUAGUUUUUCAGAGAGAGAGAGAGAGAGAGCACUUUGAAAUGAAACCUUCAAUUGAUUAAGUACAAUACGGAAUAUAUAUAUAUGGACAUAUAUCUGCAUUUUGAUGCUAAUCAGAAGUUUAGAUUAACCGAAAACCAGCACGAUUGUGUAAAAUGAACUAUUGCUUGACGUAAUAAAGGUCUUCUCCUUGGUUAUGAAGUUGAGUGUAGGCAAAGCAACUAGAAGAUUCAGAAUUAUGGAACGCUAAUUGAGGCAGCAAGCAGCAUUAAUUUGGAUCAUACGGUUGAUACCAAAAUAAUAUAUUUAUGAAAUUUUCCUGAAAGGUUUCUUCAAAAUCUCAAAAGCAUAUUCUGAUUUAUAUUUUUUAUGGGUUUUGUUUGAAAGAAAAGCUCAAGUGUACGACUACUGUUUCGUUUACGUACAGGGAUGGUUGCAGUUUUGCAUGAGGAGUGAAUUUUGUAUUUGUGUUCAUGACAUGAACAUUGACCUCGAUUAAUGCUUAAUUUGGAAUUUAGAUCAUAAAAAAUCUAAAUAUUCUGCAGUAAACGUCAUAAUUUUACCAAGAAAAUUAGGAAGUGCUUGCAAAAUCAGUAUUCCUGGUCCUCUUUUAUGUGUAUUUUGUAUUUGGGUAUAACUUGUUAUAUUUAAUUAAACCCCCUUUUUUUUUUAAAUAAAAUUGAUAUUUUUAGGUUGAAAGAAAAAAAAAACUGAGAAAAAGUCAAAGACUUCAUGCUUGCUCUAUUGAAGAAAUUGAAUAUAUAUAUAUCAAAUUAGUAAUAAUUAUAACAGUGGUCAUUCCCUAAUUUCCUACUCUCUUCUGAAAAGUCAAAUUCAAAGAAAUUAAGAACAAUAUAAUUUAUCAUAUUGGUAAUUGAGGAGAGACUGCACUUCCAAUCUCAAAAAGAGUUGCAGGCUAUUGAUCCUGGCCCUUAAAAUGUCCUGCGUAAGAAGAACAAUAUAUAUAUAUAUAUAUAUAUAUAUAAUUACGUACUGGAGAUUUUUCCAUAGCAUUUCCUGGACUUACUAGUUUCCCAAGCGUUGAAGAAAGUUACAACAUUGAAAGUUGAAACAAUAGCUGAGCACUUGCCAAAAUGGAUAGAAACAUAAUUGGGUGCAGCGUUGAUGAAAUGUUUCGAUGUCCUAAUGAAGAUUCAGAAGCAAUACGAACUUUCAUCAACGCUGCACUCAAUGAUGUUUCUUCAAUCUGGAUCCUCCAGUGCUUCCUCAUUAACUAUACGACUGAUUUGAGCCCCAUACAUAAUAUAUAUUGGGUGCGGCAACUAGCAAUACAUUAGAUUGAAAAUGCAGUACACAAAGUUGUAUUCAAUCUCUUGACCUUGUACUACCAGCUCAAAACUGCUGCUGCUCUCAAGAUUUGUACUGCUGACUAUAUAUGGUACUGAUAAAAAAAUUUGUUGUACUACACUACAUCUCCACCUAGAUUAACCCCAAACACUUCUUUCUAGAUCUAUAAUUUUCUUUAAUUAUCAUGAUUAAUUAUUAGAUUAUUUUUCUUAAGAGAGAUUAAGUUAUGCAUGUAAAUAACAAAAAUGAGUAGGUCCAAUUUUGGAACACAAUGAUGAGUAGGUCCAGUUAUAGGGCAAAUGUUCUUUGAAAAUUACAUGGCAAUAACCCUAAUUUCAAACGAAGUACAAAAAACUACCUCAACUAUUGGUGUCACGACAUUUUCAUACCUCAUAUUUUAAAAUUGACAAUGUCAUACCUCAUCUUACGAAUUUGUGCUAAUGUCAUACCUCCGUCAGUUUUUCUAUUAAUUUCUCAGUUAAUUGCUGACGUGGCUUGAUUCAGGACUCACUUUUUAUUAAAAAAAUAUUAAAAACUAAAAAAAAUCAUUUAAUAUUUUUUAAAUAUUAAAAUAAUAAAGAAGGUUAUUUAAAAAAAAAAAAAAAAACCAAACGAAACUUCCCCUGCGCCCUAUCUCUUCUCCCCCAUCUUCAUCUCCCUUCAUCUUCUUCCUACCUACUACAACCCAGAAAAAAGAAAAAAAAAAAACAAACAAAACAAAACAAAAUUUGUCCCUUACCCCCAGGCGCCCUCUCUCUUCUCCCCCAUCUUCAUCUUCUUUCCUCUUCUUCCCCCUAUUUGUUGCAACCCAGAUAGAAAAUAAAGAACAAACAAACAAACAAAACUCCCCCCCCCCGCCCCCUCUCUUCUCCCCAUCUUCAUCUCCCUUCCUCUUCUUCCUACCUGCUACAACCCAGAAAAAAGAAAGAAAAAAAAAACUUCCCCCCCCCCACCCAACCUGCAGAAGAAGAAGAGAGAGAAGGAAAAGAAAGAAAAAAAGGUGCCUCGCCCCCCCAACCUGCAGAGGAAGAAGAAAAAGAGAGAGAAGGAAAAAAAAAUACCAGUUCGUCCAUCCCCCCGUGUACCCACCAUUUUCCCUCCACAUACAUUCCCCCCAUUUUCUCCGCGCCCAAGUUCUCAAAGAGAUUUGGGGUUUUUUUUUUUUUUUUUUUGGGUUGCAGGUAAUGGGUGCGAGGUUGGGUGCAGAGGGUGGGUGGGGAGGUUGGGUGCGGAGAGUGGGUGCGGGGAGAAGAGGGGGGGGAGCGGGGAAGACAAAUUGGAUUUUCUUUUUCCUCUUUUUUUUUUUUUUCUGGGUUGAAGUUGCAGGAAGGGGGGAGAAGAAGAAGAUGGGGAGAAGAGAGAGAAGGGGGGAAAGGGAACGAAUUGAUUGUUGGUGUAUUUUUUUUUUUAAUUACUUUUCCUUAUUAUUUUAAUAUUUAAAACUAUUAAAUGAUUUUUUUGAGUUUUUAAUAAUUUUUUAAUAGAAAAUGGGCCCUGGAUCAAGCCACAUCAGCAAUUAACUGAGAAAUUAACAGAAAAACUGACGAAGGUAUGACAUUGGCACAAAUUUAUAAGAUGAGGUAUGACAUUGUCAAUUUUAAAAGAUGAGGUAUGAAAGUGUCGUGACACCAAUAGUUGAGGUAGUUUUUUGUACUUUACACUUCUUUAUUUUUUAGGGUAGUGUUAUUCACACAUCCAUUUUUACUUCUUACACACUCUUCUCAAAUUUCAGUAGUCAAACCGAAUGAAUUGAAAAAGAUCAUGAAUAAAAAUUAACAAGGGUAUAUGAGAAGUAAAAAUGGGUAUGUGAAUAACACUACCCCUCUCUUAUUGUAACUAUUUUCAAACUCUCAUUUCCUUUUUUUGCACUACUCCUUUUAUUUUCAUGCCUUGAUUCUCUUUUGACUUAUUCCUUCAAUAUCUAGAAAUUAAGAGAGAAAUGUAGGAAGAAAUAAGAGUGCGGAAAUCACUUCUCUUUAUAUAAGAAUUAGGAGAUAAAUGUUACCAUCAGACCCUUUAGAAAAUGACAAAAUGCAAUACAAUUAUACACAUGGUGUUGGAGGCACCCCGGCCUCUCUAAAAGCACUAAGAUUUCAUUUACAAAGUUUCAUAAACUACAAGCUUAAGUGACCAAUAAUAUCAACUAAUCCCUUUUUAUAUACAUGUAAGAAUUAAAUGCAGCGAUCCAGACCAAAGAACUCAAAAAAUGAUCAUCUUAUGCAUCAAAAUUAGUACUAGCGCCCUAGCCAGCACAAAUAUAUACGAAAAUGAAGGAUGCAUGUUAAAUUCUUAUCUUUUACCACGAAAAACGAUCUUACCCUCGGCAUCUUCUUGCAUGAUGGAUAACACUUCAUCGGGAGGAAUAUGCUGCCAAAUUUGAGGCUUUCCAGAACAAUGUCCCAAUUUCGCAAACUUAUCAGCGGCCCUGUUGCCUUCUCUAUAAAUAUGAGUCAGGACGCAGUUGUUAAUCUCCGGUAUGAUCAAGUUUAUGUGACUAAUCUGCCUUUGUGCCUCUGCGCAUCGAAUCUGCCUCCUCUGCGCUAAUCUGAAGCAAUGUCUUUGCGUCUCCUUCGAGCCACACUUCGCUCCAACCAUUUUCCAACACCAACUCAAGGCCUCUUCUGAGUGCAGCCAGUUCCGCAAUGAUGCUGUUGGCCUUUCCUAUGGAUUCAGCAUAACCAAGUAGGAACUCGGCCUUGUGGUUUCUGAACAGCCCUCCAAUGCUAGCCUUUCCCACUUCGGGUUUGGAAGAUCCAUCAAAGUUCAGUUUAGUCCAACCAAUUUUCGGUUUUUCCCAUGACACCGGAAUUGACUCCUUGUGCAAACUCCCGAAUAGGCAAACCGGACGUUGUUGUAUUAGUUUUUCGAACCUCAAAAUCUUAUUGAAAGCUAACAUUUUAAAGUAUAUAUUUACUUCUUCCUAAAAACUAUUUUAAUUAAACAUAUUGCAGUGUUUAGCAAAACCGACAUUACAUGAAAUGAAGAGAAAAAUGAUAAGUAGGGGAAUGAGUUUUACACAACAAAAGGAAGACGAAGAGGAAGUCGAAACGUUUCUUAAUGCUAAAGUUAUGAAUCUAUAUUAGUGCCCUUAAUCCUUUGGAACAUAAGAAACUAUUGCUUCACGUAACCAUGCAUUGAAGGAGUUGGAGUUGAGAGAAGGCAAGGUAUAGGGUUUACAACAAGGCAGCGUUUAAUUAAUAAUAUACGAGUUUCUUGACACACGCGUGAAUACUUAGAUGACGAAAAAUGGCUAGAGAGGUUUUAUUCAAGAACUCUCAAACACAUUAUAAUGUUUAUCCAGACAUUUUCAUGGGAUUUGAUAUUGAAAAUUGAUGAGUUUUGUUGAUAAAGUGCAUGCUAUGAUAUUAACAUAUAUGCACGAAGAACUUGAGAUGAACCGUUAAAUGGUAACUGUAAAAACACCGAUUUUAUCCUAAUGGGAUAAAAACUGCAAAUUUAACUGUAUUUUAUCCAUAAAACUAGUGGGAACUCCGAAAAGUAAGAAUGCUUAAAUUUAAUUAGGGUAUUUUCAGGAAAUGAGAGGACAAAAAUGAAAAGAAAAAAAAACUCAAGGGCUGACGAGAUAUAGAGAAAGCAUUUAAUGCGGUGUUAACUUUGGUCAACUGUGAUUCAGAUGAUCAAAUUGGAUUGAGAUCCUCAAGGGAUCUCACACUCCAGAGUCCGCAAAUCGAACAAUUCGGAUUGUUCAAGAGAGAGAUAUAUGAACGUUCGAGAGAGAUUGUAUGUGAAGUGAGUCAGUGAAAUGGGCUAAUAGGGGACAACAUAUUUUAAAUUAAACGGUCUGAAAUGCUUGAUCUGUUGGCUCCCAAGCUGAUCUCAAUCUGAUCAAAUUAGUUGCCUACAGUUGCCCUUGUUGCGCGGUAGAGAGUCAAUGACUGGGUCAACGAAAUUUCCUGCCUAUUUGCAGCUUAGUUACAGUAAGAUCUGUGUAUAAUGUUUGGCCGCAAUAUAUCUUCAUGUCACACUACAUAUCUAUCUCUCAUUCAAGUAAGAAUAAAAGUUCUACAAAUCAAUGACAUGAAAAGUUCUGGCUUUUUAAACAAGGCAUAUCAAACUACACACCCAAAACAAAUCAUUUACACGGUUGCAAUUCGCAGUUCCUAAUCGUUUUUCAAUUCAUCGGAAGGACGAAAUUAGUAUUCAAACGAGCAACUUUAUUUCUUCAAUCCCACACUUUUGCUCCUUAGAAUUUUUCCUUACCAAUGAGCCACAACCAGUCAAGGCAAACCCCUGCAAAUAUGCCUCCCAAAAGAAACAGAACAAGUAUAUUUCCCAAGGCAUUUUGCUCAGGUCCCUGCAAAUCAAACAACCAGAAAUUAAUUUUGAUUUGAUUUAAUCAGAAACCAUGAAAACAUAAAUUAUAUUCGGAACAGGUUACGUACGUUGUAGCCUUUCGGUGCCACUGUCAUGACACAGACAGUGAGAUAACCAUUUGUUAAUCCUAAGAUUGAUGUCAGCAAGAUCAUCCACCCUUGGUCAGCGUACUUUCCUGUGAAGUAGUACGCUGGAACGAAGAGGAAACGCAAUAGGAUUGCAAUCAGGAGACCCUUUCUGGACUCGAUCUUCAGGCAUUUGAUGAGGGGUAUGUAUCGCGAUAUCAAAUCCAACACAUUGUACAUUGCAACCAGGACAAGGGGAUACCUGAGAGAGUUUUCAAAAGGCAACCGUACCAGAGUAUAUCAGAUUACGAGGCAUGCCUAGAGAACAAGCGUUUAAAAUAUGAAAGGAAUCGAAACUUACCAUGUCCCCAACUGGUGAUUUCCGGUAUUUUCGUAUAUGAAACCAGGGAAGAUUGAUAAUGUCAGCACAUAUAUCAGAAACAAGUCAAGGCAAAAAUCUAUAUUCUGCUUGAAUAUCUGCAUAGUGCUCAAUCGAGUUGGAACUACUUUGGCAUCGUUUGAGACCUGCGAUAAAUUUAGAAAGGUUUUUAGUAAUUGGAUAUCCGAGCAGAUCCUCAAGAACAGGCAUCAUCAGAGUUUAAAGAAAGGUUCAAUACUUCUAUGUCUGCUUGUGUUUGGACUCCAGCAGCAGCAAGAUCGGCGGUUACAGUUUUAGAGCCUUCGGAAGCUGCCUUUGAGCGGUAGUACUUCACUAUAGGCAAUCUCGGGAAGUAAAAUGCAUAUAGAAGAAUACAGAGAAACUCGGUGAAUGUGGAAAUUGUCAGGAACAACACUGUAAAAGAUCAGUCACACAAGAAAUUAUCACCGACCAAGGAACUGAAAGUAUCCUUCAGAAAGUAUUAUUACGCUAGCUUCAGAAAGCAGCUUAAUAUGGAAUCUGCUUCGCCACCUAAUGUGUAUAUUGUUUUCCUACAAAACUCAAAUCCACUUCCUCGGCUUUGACACAUACGACCACAAUAUAAGAAGAAGCAUAUGAAUAUAUAUCAACCACCCGAACUGUCUAUAUGUAAAGGAAAUUGACAUACUCGUCCCCUUGCGAAGACCAUCAUGAGACUUCUCAAAGGCAGCUUUUGUCAUCAGCCGCAAGCCGGAGGUUAGAGCGCCUGAUGCAGCCAAACCCGCAAAGAAGGACUGCAGAAGCAGAACACUAAAUUACAAACAGAAGUUGUCAUAAACGUUAAACAACUGUGAAAAAUAACUAACCUGGAUGAAUUCAGGACGCAUCAACGACAGGUCCCCGACCAUUCCACCUUGAACGUGGGCAUCUGCAACCCCAAAUGCAGCAACACAUGCGCAUAUACCGAUAUAAGGUCCAACUCCUCCGCCCGCAGAUGUGGCUACAUCCACCUAUUUACAAAGUUGAAAGUGAAGUUAAUUGAUCGAAAGCAACAGAAAACUUGUAACAGAAUAGAGAGCAGGAUUUACUUACAAUUAUAAGCAUCAAGGUAGCGAGGAAGAAGAGAGCAUAUCCAAUUAAAUUCCGCUUUCUGGUGUCAACCUUUGCUUCAUGGUAUGCAAGUGUUGCCAUUGUUAUAAAUGCAAACGGUUGAUAAACAAGGGUGAGAACCCGCGAUGGAUGGUAAGUCUACGAAAACAAAUUUCCAUCAGACUUUUCAAGACUUCCCUUUUUAUUUGCAAACAACCCAAAGGGAAAAUAAAUACGAAAAUAAAGUUCAAAACUUUUCCAUAGCCCAGCAACUUCAAGCCUAAUUCACUUAAUCUGAAAAGAUCAUUUGUAGCUCUUACCGGAAACAAGUUAUAGUAGUAAUCACCUAUGGUGAGCAUACUGUUCCAAGCAACAAGGGAUCCCAGCCCCAGGAACCAACAAACUGCUAAAGCUUUAUACUGUCCCUGCUUGUUGCAACAAUUCAAAAUUCAAAACAUAUCAGAUAUCACAAUUCAAUUGGAAAAGAGUUAAAAAAAAAUGAAAACCCCCUAGAGUAAUAGAAGGUGAGCAUCCAACGCUCACGCGGAUAGCCUGCUUUGAUACCAUAAUCGCAAAACCAAUUUUCCGAGGUGGGAUUUGCACUCUCAACAGAAAUUUCAAUGCCUAAAUCAAUUUGAGGAAACAAAAGUCCAAUGCUUUCAGCACAAACCUCAAGCUUUAAUGGAGCCCUGGUUCCAUUUUCCUCAAUCAUGGCUGCUUCCCAUGUUUCAGAAACACACAAAGUUAGACACUUCAUAUAUGACUACUGUUGUAAACAGUCAACUUGAAAUACAUUAAAAACGCAGAUACCAGUAUGUAAAUAAUCAAAUAUGCAUAUACUGGUCAUUACCUGCUCAGAUUCUUGAAGCUGACUUGAAUAUGCAACUGGGUUUUCAAUAGUAUAUACCUUCACUUUUCCAGAAGAUUAAAAAAAAAUUAAAAAGAUAAAAUCUGGAUGGAGGUUUUGACCUCUGUUCAAACCAGAACUAUAUAUAUAUAUAUGCAUGGAAAAUCAUAAACAAUUGAGUUGUAUUAUUAUAUAAAACGAUUACAGCGCCGACAACCUUAAAGAUUCACAUGGGCACAGAAAAAAGGAUAUGAGAUUAUGUAUUUGCGAGGAAUCUGAUGGAGUUUUGAUUCGACUGCAUAGUAAUCUGAAAGCAAGAAUCAAAGCAGGCUGUGGAAUUGAAAGCCAAAAAGGAUUCUCCUUUUUUCCGAAUAAUUUGAUUCUGAUUGUGAUUGAAGAUUACAACUUAUCUAAAUAAGUUACUCUGAAGGUAUCUUAACCUAUGAAAAAUAAGAUUUUUAACGAAAGUAGGUUAGGAUAAUGUAGUAGAAUCUUAAACCAAUAAUGUAACGUAGUAUUUCAAUUUGACAUAGAUAAUAAAUUCUUAGAAUGCGGUUAGAAUAAUAUAGCGGGAUCGUAAACUAAUAAUACAAAAUAAUAGAAUCCAAUGCCACGUAAAUAAGUCUCUCUACUUAAUGGUUGACCAAUAGUUUGAAAGCAGAUACCUAGAGCAGAUCCAAUAGUUUGAAACCGAUACAGUCCGGUGCCGUUUUGGUUGAAGAUCGCCUUUCAAUUUGAAAAGAAACAGCUGUACUUUAAAACAUGCAUCCCAUUUGUACACGAACACAUAAUUUAAAUUUGUGAAUAUUUUAUAAUAAAUAUAAGAAAAUCAAUCUAAAUUGCUAAGAAAUCUGAAAGGAACUUUUGUUUUUGGACGAAAUCCGAAAGCAACAUCAUAUUUGCCAUCCACAUAGUAAAAUUGUAAAAUACAAUAUGAUUUAGGUUUAUGGAAAUAGAAACGUGAGCUGGCAUAAAUUAUAUAUGAUGCUAAACUCAAUGUAGAAUAUGAACGCUCGAAUGAACUAUUAUCAUACUCGUUGUUUUAAUCAAUAAAAUUAUAACUCUUGAAGCGGGAGUACUAUUCUCUUCUCUUCUCUCUCACCACGUAUUAUUAUUUUGUAAUAUUAUGUGGCAUGUGACCGUCACACUAAACAAAUACUUUUGUCUCUUUUUCUCCCUCUCCCUCACCAAGUAUUCUUUUUCGAUUAAUACGUUAAAGGAUGAAGAGAUCCAUAUGGUAGUGCAUUAAGCAUCGGAUCUAAUGAGCUCAUUAAUCACGUUUAACCAAUGUAUAAAAAACGUUUAGUAGACUUCACAAUAAGUUUCAAUAAUUGUAGACUUGUUAAAAAAAAUCGCUUGAAUUUGCUACAAUUAACCGUUUUUCAAAAAUUGAGUGAAUGUGAUACGAAAAUUGCAUACUAUUAUAAUUUAAACUUUUUUUUUUUUAGUACAUCGAUAUUUUUACACUAGAGGAAUGAAGAGUUCGGCUAAGCCACACAACGGGCAACCUAAUUUGGUAUCAAAUUGUUUAAUAGAUUAGACAUUUUCUGGGUUCGAUUUCUGGUACUGGUGAGUCGCACAAUAAUGACUAGGAAAAUGUUGAAAUGUCUUUGUGAAUCUUUUCAGUCUAUAAAAAGUGGACUGGCAUGACGAAACCACCAAUUAGUUUUUUUUAGAAGAAAGAAAAAAAAAAGAAGACUUUGACACUUGAGAUACAUCACCAUAAAACAACCAAGAAUCUCUCAUCUUUAGUUGGGGCUUGACGUUGGGUGACAUUUUUAUUUAUAAAAGGUGGAACCAUAAAUUGAGGAGCCACUAAAAGCUUGAAGAAUAAAUUGAGGAGUCACUAAAAGCUUGAAGAAAGGUUUCAAGAAAAUUGACAAUUGAGAUUGGGCAGUGGGGUGAUCGUCCUCAGUCCUCGCCAACUUCUUGUUUCGUUUCCAUUGGACCAAUGAUGCUUCCCCAAAUCAAAAUCCAAACCUCACUUUUCAAAAUCGAAUAUCAUAUAGGAUAGUGUUAUUCACACACUAUUUUUUACUUUUCACACAUCUCUCUCAAUUUUCUAUUGUCGGAUCGAAUAAAUUGAAGAAGAUCGAUAACAAAAAAUUAAUGUUGGAGGUAAAAAUAGUUGUAUAAAUAGCAUUAUCCUAUCAUAUAAUGGCACAGUUGACUGACGUAAUCAGCUGACUAAUGAGACUACUGCCUUUUAGCUAUUGUGUGUGUGCACACACAAUCUUUAGGAGAAGGGAUCUCCAUUUUUUAAAAAUGGAAAUUUGUUGUGGGGUUUAAAUCACAUCGAAGUUCAACGAUCCGAACAAUAUAUUUUUGUAAUUGUACCUCAUAGAUCAUUCUUGCAAAAUAUUGACUAAAUCGGAAAUAUUUGAUGUAUCUAAUUGAGUUCACAAAAACUAAUAAAAUUUUAUCGUGACAAUUAAACAAACAAGUAGUUUCAGAUUGAAAUGAAUUUUUGCAAGAACGAUCUAUGAAUCGAGACUUACAAAAUAAACAGUUUAGAUUGUUGAAAUUCAAUAUAGAGUGAGUUCCAUAAUUAAUAUCCAAUUUUUUUUUAAAUGGGAAUCCCUUCUUAAAGGGUGUGUGUGUGUGUGAGAGAGAGAGAGAGAGAGAGAGGGAGAGAUGGUAAGGCCAGGCCCACUAAAUGAAAUGAAAAGGCACCUUGGUAGUGGAAUGGGAUACAUAAUCUAGGCCAAGCCCAGCCCAUAAUAAAAAGGCCGCAAUAAGCAAAGCCCUGAUCGCAAAGUGGAGAUCCUCAAAGCUCAUUCAUUGCCCUCCACUACAAAAUCUGGAAACAAUCAAACAAUUCCAAUCAUCUCUCACAUUUAGUGGUAAGACUCCAGAAAAGGCCUCUAAAAAGCCAUUUUCUGUGAACAAGAGUUGGGUUCUUAAGUGAGAUGUUCCUCGGUAGUUUAGUGGUAAAGCGGUCGGCUGUUAUUAAUUAGAAGAUGAACCGACUACUAACGCUGGCCGCCAAAUAUUGGCAUUCGAUAGGUAGAGUUUCUGAUGCGGCACGAAGUAAAGGAUUAGUAAAUCCUUAAAGGAUCGAUAAUCUGGAAUCCCUCAUUUAUUAAAGUAAUCCCAAGGGAUAAAAAAAAAGGCGACCAGAAGCCAACAGGGUUCCCACUUUGUAAGGGUUCGGGACAGUUCAUCUAUCAAUUUUUUAGAGUAAAAUCCCAAAAGAUAAUUUUGAUUAACUGAUAAUUGAUUAUUACAAUUGAAACAUCCAGAUACUUAAAUGAAGAAUUUAAGGAUCAUAACUUCUUGGACCAACUCAACCAACUUUGGUAAUUUAAACAAAAUUAAUUGGAUGACAAUUCAAAGGUCUGCUUUUUAUUACGAAAAUUAAAAUUAUGACGUCGUUCCCUUUCUGAAACUGUAUUAAGGACUCAAAUCAGUGCUCGAACGUCAAAUUUACAAAUUAUCACUACGUGAUUUGUCUUCCGACGAUCCAGUUCCUUUUUAUUCCAUUCCACUAUUUGUUCAACAUCGGUUCCUGGUUUUCUUGAUGGUAGUGCCGGUGCACUAUCCCUAAACGUCUCUUUCUCCAAAAGGUUUGCUUCUCUAAAAGGUGAAUUGCCACCGCCCAAGUUAUACAUUACCAUAAACGUCCCUUUAAUCAUUCCAACUUGAUAAGUGACAAAGACUCAUAUCCUAUUAAUUAAUACCUGAUUUAUACACUUUGACCUUUUCCUUUCCUACCCAACGACAUAAAAUAAUAGCUCAAAUUUUGCUUCCACUUUAAGAAAGGGGGGACAAUAUGAUUUCAAGUCUUAUUACUGGAAAGGGAUCCUUUCCGCUCCCUUUCACCAAAUUCACCUAAUCAAUCAAUCCGGACUCUUGAAAUUUGAUCAAACGGUUACAAACAUAGAGCAUCUUAAAAAGGUAUAAUAAUUAGUCGUUUGAUUAAAUUUCUAAGGCCCGAAUUAGAUGAUUGGGUGGAUUUGGUAGAAUGAAUCAGGAGGAGAGGAUCCCUUUCCCUUAUUACUGGCCAUGAGUUUGCCCUAUUUUCACUUAGUUAAAACAAGUAUUAAGUUCGAUUAAGACGAAUGCAUGACAAUAUAUAUUUAUAGUGAAUUCAAUUUUAAAUUGAGAUUCAUAUAACUAUUUAUGAGUGAGUUAACAACUCGUUUUAAAAUAUAUUUAUAAGUAUCAAAUCGAUAGUUGAAUUUGUUUUAGAUAUAUAUAUGGACAGUCAAUAACAUGAUUAUUAUGUCAAGGGGAUAUUACACAUCAGAUUCCUGUUUAAAUGAGGACUCAACUACGUCAUCGUGACCUCGACGCUAUGAAUUUUAAGUUUCUCGUAUGAUAUUACAUGAUUAAUUUUACAUUGUCAAGUUCACGUAUCAGUUGCAUACAAGUUCAUUGAGUCAAGUACCCCACAAGGCCGACGUUGGACCCACCAGUCACCCAGAACAUCAAACACUCCAAUGAUUGGACAGUGAGGGGUUCGACGAUGCAAGCCGGUUGGCGUAGCAAAGUCCCGUGGCCACGGGACAAAAUGGUGACAAACAGGCCGGUUGCCUCUGACAAUGCGAUAACGACACCUGGACCCGUAUACCUGGUCUUUUAAGGCAUUUUCCCACCACCUCGCGCUCCCACCUUCCUUCCUUCCUCUCCACCUUGCUCGCCCAACUCCGCCGUCUGCUCUCUCACCUCCCGCCAAGUUAAUUCCUUUUUUUUUUUUUUGUUGUCCAAGAUACCUUUUGUAUCUGGUAGACUACGAGCUUGUUUGAAAAGUGUUUUUAAUCGACUGAAACGUUUUUAGAAAAAAAAUACUUUUGAGUUUCAAAAUGCACUUUAAGUGUUUUUCACAAUUAAUUUGUAUUUUUACCAAAGUUUGAUUUCCAAAAACAUUAUCUCAAAAACAUUUUUAAUCAAUAAAACGCUUUUCAAACGAGUUCUAUAUGCAGUAUCAUCAACCAAACAUGACGAGAGAGUAACAGCAUCACAGAACGAAGGAAAAAUAAAGACGAAUAUAUCAUUUUUCAAUGGCAACUGGUUAAUUAAUUUAUACCCUACUCAAUUAGCUAAAUUAGGUGAAAAAAAAGAGAGAGGAGAAUAUAGUAAGCGGGGCCCAGCAAAGAAGGUGAAAAAGAGAUCUAACGGCUAGAUAUCAUGGUCAAUUAAUUAUUUAUCUAAGAUCUAACGGCUAGGAAAUGCGAUAAAUAAAAUAUUCCGGGUCAGGCAAGCGUCUGUGACGCACCCAUCCGUCACAGACAUCCAAAUCUCCCUCUAUUUCCGCUCCCAGACAUUCCUCAACGUCUGCAACUCCAACUCGAUACACCAAAAGCUGACCCCUUCACAACUUUUUGUUGCGGAGAGCAUAGUUCGUAUCGCCCUCGGAUAAUGGCGUCACUCCACCCCUCUGAGUUGGACUCCGCCGCCACCGACUCGGUCGCGUCGACCCCGCGCUCGGACCACCCGUCCCACGACCUCAACUCACGUGUACGGUUCAUGUGCAGCUUCGGCGGCAAGAUCCUGCCGCGCCCGCACGACAAUCAGCUUCGCUAUGUCGGCGGCGAUACCCGAAUUGUCGCUGUGCAUCGCACCACCUCUUUCUCCGCCCUUCUCUCGAAGCUCUGCAAACUCUCAGGCAAGUAAACUCGUCGAAACGACGACGUAUCAUCGCGAUUCAGUUGCUUAAUUAAUCUAAUUAAUCGCGGGGUUUGAUUGUGUGCGGCAGGGUUGAGUAACGUAACGGUGAAGUACCAGCUGCCGAACGAGGACCUGGACUCGUUGAUUUCGGUCACCACGGACGAGGACGUUGACAACAUGAUGGAGGAGUACGACCGCAUCGCACAGAAUCAAAACCCAAAAUCGGCGCGGCUCCGCCUCUUUCUCUUCCCCAAAGGCGGCGACGACUCGAUUAACUCGCGAUCCUCCAGCAUCAGCUCGCUCCUAGACGGCUCCGCCAAGCGCGAGCACUGGUUCCUCGACGCGCUCAACAGCGGUACGUCGAAUUCCGCUAUGCUCGAGCGGGGCCGCUCCGAAGCCUCUUCGAUCGUCUCCGAAGUGCCUGACUACUUAUUCGGGUUGGACAACUCCGACGACACUCACUCUCGGUGCGGCGAUUUCAAACCGAAGGCUCGACCCGUAUUGAACGACAACGUGUCGGUUUCGGAUCCGGGUUCACCUGCCCCGAUCACUUCCUCGCCGUUCUGCUCGACGUCGUCUGUGCCAUCCGUCCCGUCGAUGCCGAGUCUUCCACCGGUGAAGACCCGACCCGAUUCCAAUAAAGUCAUGGAGACGAAAGAGAAUCAAUCGGAGAUGUUUACCGAGACGGUUGAGUUGCCCGUGUCGCAAGCAACUGGGUUCGCAGGCAACCCUGGGGUGCAGUAUAUGCCGGAUCCUAAUUACCAGGGUCAUAUGGUCCGGUCAUUACCCGUCUAUUAUUAUCCGGGUCAGGUUCCACCCACAACGUACAGGUCCAACCUGUUCCGAUUCGGAGGCAGUAUGUUCAUCAGCAAUACCACCAGGUAGCGAGUCAGAUUCCAGUCGGGUACCAUAACCCAAUACCGGGUAUGGGUCAAGUAUAUGGUGGCGGGUUGAGGCCAGUGGUGGCGAUGGACCCGUAUGACGUGUCAGCUCGGGUGGUUUCCGAUGGAGGGAGCCAGCAACAGCAGCUGCAGCAGCAGGUGUACUAUGGAGUGAGGAAUGGUGCGGUGGUUUCGCCGUAUAAUCCAGGUAUGGUGGUGCAAUCGGGGGAGGAAUGGCAAGGACCCGGACCCGAUAAGAAUACGGGUCGGGCUCCGAAUUCAUCAUCUUGACCAAUGCAUGAAUGAAACAAACAUCUAGUUACUGUGAUUUGGAUUGUUAUUUAUUUUAUAAUUUUGUGAUUGCUUGAUGAUUGGUUGAUGAGUGAGUGAUGAUCCAAACUGUAAUUAGCAUUUUGAACUUGGUAUUGUGAUGAAAUUAUGAAGGGUUGUUUUUACCUUGUUUUGAUUUUCAUGGGAUAAAUGGUGUAUAUGGAAAAGUGAAAACUUUUGCUUUCAAAGGCUUUCCCUUUAUCUUUUGUGAAUAUAAAAGUUGUUUUUUUCUUAAACAAAACAAGUCUAAUAAAGUUGUUUGUAAAGUUGUUGAGUUUUAAUUCUAUAUUGAUAUGAAUUGGAAUUGGAAUUGAAAUCGGUAUGAAAAAAGAAGAUGGAAAUGAACUGGUUCAGCUCUUGCAUGACAUCGUGGAUUCGAACAUCUGUCGGUAGAUAAUCUACCAUUUAAUCUAACAAAAUCUAUCGUUUGUACUUACAACGAGUAGGAUUAUCUCCCUUUCCACUUUCCUUCCCUCCAUUCCCCUCCUCUCUCUCCUUAUUCUUUUUCUUUCUCUCUACAGAGAAUGCAACACAAGAUCCUUACGUGGACUUAAUUGUGAGCGUUCAAAUGGAGAGACAGGGAAAAUGCGAGAGGAGGAGAGAGUCCGAAUUCUAUUUACAGAGAGAAUUUGACUGCAAAUGUAAUGUCGCGUUUUAGUCUUACCAUUGUGAUAGUGAUUUCGUUCUCUCAUUUUUUUUAUUCAUGCACUAUUAUUCUAGUUUCUAUAUAUUGAUUCUAUUUUGAUAUAUUCAAUCUUACGACUAAAUUUUAAAAGAGAAAAAUAAUGCUAGAAGAGAGAAAUGAGAGUUUGAAACCGGGCUCACUUUUGAUAGUAUCUCCUCCGUGUGGCAAGCUCGUUUUAGGACAUUAUUGGGGUUGCGCGAUCCCUAACUAUUUGGUGUAGUUUUCUUCAUUGUGGACUUAUAAAUAUGUCAUUGCCUUGAGAAAGUUUGAGUAGACCGAGGCAGGAAUAGUAUUGGCCGGCCCAUGACUGUCUACGGUUAGAUAACCUUUGUUGGGUUAACCAUCCCCCCUCCCCAUCGCUUGUUUGGUUGAGAAAUUUUUUAUUGUGACCGGAAUAUGAAUGAUAUAUCACGUGCUUUUAUAUAAGUGGUGAAAAUUUUUAAUUUUCAAGCUAUUAACUUUUAAACACACAUAUUCUAUCAUUUGUAUGGUGACACAUGGUGUACCACCCCGUGUUCUAGUCACACUAAAAAAUCUCUCUGUUUGGAGAUGCUUCUAAAAGGAAUAAAAGUGCAUUAGGACUAGGUGAUUCUCAAACAACUGCUCCAAAGCGACAAUUGACGCGGGGUCAUAGAAGAAGGGCUCAAUCUGCCCCCUAGUGGUUAUAGAUGGGCUUAAACAACUACUCCGUACAUUUGGAAGAGCAUAGCUUUGACAUAGAAUUGCCAUAAUUGGCCGAAUCUUGUAGUCUAUUUUAAAUCAGUCUAACUUAAUUCUUGAAGUUAGUCAGGUCUGAAAUAACCCAAUGCAACAAACGCUCCUUAAAAAGGGGCAAGUGCCUGUCAAAAGCCUGCUCAAAAGGACUGCCGAUUCGUACUAAUGUAUGGCAUCUUCAGUCCGAUCAGAUUCAGGUGAAAUUCAAGGUUGUUGGGUCACUCUGUCUUCCCCUCAAACACACAUUCUUCUUUUCAAUAUUCUAUCAUGUAUGUGACUGACCACUUACUACUACUCGAUCGUAUGGUUCUGGUUCACAUCUAAGAAAAAUAAACAAACAUUGGCACGGUUUGGGCUUGACACUGAACUCGAAUGUCCACAUAAUUUUUCAAGUUUCAAAUGGACCAACAUCGCCCAACAAGUAAAUUAAUAAGCCUUGGCAUGUUUCUAUCUGAGGUUUGUAAGCCUCAGAUCUGCUUAUAUAUUUUGUGUCCUACGUACCUUUUUUUAUUUAUAUAAUUUUUUUGUCCCAAUUGGAGGAGCCCCAUUAUUGCUUAAGGUGAUUUGAACACGAAAACCAAAGAUUUACAUAUACUCUAGUUAGAAGAUGUAUCUAUGAGAUAGAGGGUCAUGACAAAAGACGUAGAGGAAGACCUAGGAAGACUUGUAAAUUUACUUUAAGAAAAAAAUAUGGAGUACUUGGAGUUAACAGAAGAUUUGACGAAAAACCGAGCACACUGACAUUCAAAUAUUUAUAUAGCCGAUUUCAUUUUGUGGAAUAAGGUUUGGUUGUUGUGUUGGAGGAGGCCACACCUUUGUCUUACUAGUAACUUUCUUUUACUACCCACAAACGAUAUCAUAGGACGCUGGUAAUCUGCCUGCAUGGGAGCAAGGCGUGAAUGCAUGCACUCAUAACAUAAAGUGAGACAGAAAAGCAGAAAGAAAAAGCUUAACAGCUGGGAUUUGAAUAUUCAAUUCACCAGAAAAUAAAAAAAGUAGGGAUGCGAUUUCGAUUUGUGGUCAUAAAAAAAAAACUUAUUUAGUUUUAGGUAGGCUUUCUCUCGAACCAAUGCCAAUUGCCAAACAACAACAACAACAACAACAAAGCAUUUUCCCACUAAGUGGGGUCGGCUAUAUGAAUCCUAGAACGCCAUUGCGCUCGGUUUUGUGUCAUGUCCUCCGUUAGAUCCAAGUACUCUAAGUCUUUUCUUAGAGUCUCUUCCAAAGUUUUCCUAGGUUUUCCUCUACCCCUUCGGCCCUGAACCUCUGUCCCGUAGUCACAUCUUCGAAUCGGAGCGUCAGUAGGCCUUCUUUGCACAUGUCCAAAUCACCGGAACCGAUUUUCUCUCAUCUUUCCUUCAAUUUCGGCUACUCCUACUUUACCUCGGAUAUCCUCAUUCCCAAUCUUAUCCUUUCUCGUGUGCCCACACAUCCCACGAAGCAUCCUUAUCCCCGCUACACCCAUUUUGUGUACGUGUUGAUGCUUCACCGCCCAACAUUCUGUGCCAUACAACAUCGCUGACCUUAUUGCCGUCCUAUAAAAUUUUCCCUUGAGCUUCAGUGGCCUACGACGGUCACACAAACACUCCGGAUGCACUCUACACUUCAUCCAUCCAGCUUGUAUUCUAUGGUUGAGAUCUCCAUCUAAUUCUCCGUUCUCUUGCAAGAUAGAUCCUAGGUAGCGAAAACGGUCGCUUUUUGUGAUCUUUGCUAGAUUGCUCCGGUCAUUAGUGUGGAUAAGUAUAUAAAUGGAUAGAGAUAGGAAAGCCAACACAAGAUGUACGUGAUUCACCCAGAUUGGCUACGUUCACGGAAUAGAGGAGUUCUCAUUAAUUAUGAAGGGUUUUACACAAGUACAUAGGUUCAAGCUCUCCUUUAGUGAGUACAAGUGAAUGAUCUAGUACAAAUGAC
rnacentral:lncRNA from 1 species